AGUGCAAUGGGGCUGAGAGUAGAGUCAAAGGAGCAUGGACACAGGGGGGAGAUGGAGUAGAAUGCAGAAGAGAUGCCAUGUCAAGCAACCAGAUGUUGUAUUUAAUGUCCUCUCCAAAUCAAACCAUUUUCUUUGAUGACUCUGCGAUAGACUGGAGAUGGCCAGGAGGUUGCAAGAAAACAGAGCAAGGAGGAGAGCUGAAGCAAAGAGACCGAUGGGACCCUGCAUGCAGAAUGAGGGCAUGAUCAGCAAGAUCAGCUGACAUCAAAGUAGGCGCUGUGAGAAGAGAUCUCCAAAAGAUGUUGGGGGAAGCGCAAUGGACCAUGGCAUGUCCUCGUGUCCCUGUCCUCCUGCUGCUGGUGGUGUUUGGUACUCUCCAGGCUCCACUCCUGGUCCUUAACACUUCCAGAGCUCAGGAAGGGGAAAUCGUCGUGGCUCAAUGUGUCCUUCAGAAGCUGGUUCCUGCUGCCCGAAUUGUCUUCUGCAAGGAUGGGAUGGAGCUGUACAGCAUGAAAGCCCAUCAGCAUACGGUCAUCAACUCCAUGCUGAUGAACAUCUCUGCAAGAAGCAGUGGGACAUACGCGUGUGGGUACCAGCAGAGGAACGAGAGCAAUUGGCUAAGGAUCUCCUGCCGACCACGAUUCUUACUAUGCCAACGUGGAUCAAAUGAGGAGAGUGAAGGCCUCUGGAAUACACAGCUCUGAAGUUUGUACAUAGGACAGAAUGUCAGAAAGUGAGAGGCGAUCCACCCCUUUCUCUGCAAGAACAAGGGGGAAAGCACAGCAGAGGUGACACUUAUCAAUAAAAGCAUGAAAUCCUUC
rnacentral:lncRNA from 1 species